UGUUUCUACUCUCUCUGUCUCCAUUUCUGACAUCUCAUUGUUCUUUAACAACCCAACCUGCAGGAGACUGGAUCAAAGGAGAGAAGAUAAAAUGGAGCUGGGUAUGUUGUGUUCCAGACUAAAAUCUGCAUCACAGAGCCACACUCUGAAAGAAAUGGGCUUCUGUGGUCCCUCUCACUGCUGCCACAGACAUAGCACCGGGCGGCAGAAGAAGAAUAAAGAAUGGUAAAAGAAUAGUGAGAAAAUCUAAGGGGGAAAAGAUUCUCAUAUACAAUUACGAUGAUGCAAUAACAGACUAAGAUCGACUCUGAUAAACCCUCCACUCCCCAAAGUCACAGAAAGUUGACCAACCGUGUACUUUUAUUUAUUUAACAACUAUUUGCUAGGUGAGUUUAAGUGAAAGUCCAUCAAGCUAUUUAGAAUACUCAAUCCUUCAUUUUGCUGCAAUGCCUUUUACUUUCUAGUUUAAUUCAUAAUAAACCUGGCCCUGUCUUUCCCUACA